AUUGAACGCUGGCGUCAGGCCUAACACAUGCAAGUCGAACGAGCGGCGGACGGGUGAGUAAUGUCCGGGAAACUGCCUGAUGGAGGGGGAUAACUACUGGAAACGGUAGCUAAUACCGCAUCCCAUCGGAUGUGCCCAGAUGGGCUUAGCUAGUAGGUGGGGUAACGGUUGACCUAGGCGACUAUCCCUAGCUGGUCUGAGAGGAUGACCAGCCACACUGGAACGGAGACACGGUCCAGACUCCUACGGGAGGCAGCAGUGGGGAAUAUUGCACAAUAGGCACAAGCCUGGUGCAGCCAUGCCGCGUGUAUGAAGAAGGCCUUCGGGUUGUAAAGUACUUUCAGCGGGGAGGCGUUACCCGCAGAAGAAGCACCGACUAACUCCGUGCCAGCCGCCGCAGUAAUAC
rnacentral:rRNA from 1 species